UUUUUUUGGAGCGAGAGUAGACUGCUGGUGGGCCGCUCGGCAAGCAUGGCCCGUUCUGCUUGCCCGAUCCGUUCUGCAGGCCCAUACGCGACCCAAGUAGAGUGGGCGCACCAUGAAGCAGGAAAGAAGGGGUAAAGUUCCUCGCCGCCGGCGGCCACCGUGCGCGAGAAAGGAGACGCCGUCCGCCCUGAGCUCCCCUCCUCCCUGCCGGUGCUCCCGGUGCCCGCCGCCGUCUCUGCCCGGCUUCCCUGUCACGGUGGCCGAGCCGCUCGCUUCCUUUCCCCACAGGUCGCGGGCCACGGCCUCCUCCUCUACGGAUGAUUGAUUUGGUAUGCCCUGCUCUUGCUCUGAAGAUCACUGCUUGGAUGCUAGUGGAAUCGAUUUCAUUUUGUCCAUGUCAAAAUUAUUAGGACGAGAGGUAAGAUGAGCUUGCGAAUUUCAAGGUGAUUGGGGCUUUGCUAGGCACAAGUGCCAGAUCUUGUUGGAAUCUGUCCAUCUGGUACGAGCUUAGUGAUAGAUUGGCGAAUCAUUGUGUGCAUCGUCUUGUGUUUAAUACUGUAGAACUUUGCACAACUGACUUUUAAAAGAGGAUUUCGACCGAGCAACCGUCACAUGUGAAUCGAAUUUUGUGAUGGGUGGCUAUUGUUAAUUAGUGCGUUCUUGGUCUGUAGAUAUGGACUGCUAGGAGAGGAUGGCUGCUCGUCAGAUAUGCUGCUCAACUUUUGAGAUGACAACAAUACCGGACUUGAUGCGAUGAUAUCUAUGUAAAACAAUCCUGGGCUUUAUGUUUAUGCAAAACAAUUUUGGUUGCACACUGGUUGAUUCUGGAAUCGGACCCCCGUGUGGAGCCUGUACGUCCUAUGUGUUUUUGUAGCUUCUUCACCAAGUCUCGCCAAACAGCAUUAUACAAACUCAUUUCCAGCCUUGGCUAACUCCAAUCCUGUGUGUGUUUGUUUGUUAAUUUACAGUUGUACUGAACUGUAGCAAAGCAGGGGAUCAUUUGUGUGAGUUGUACUGAACCGUGGCAAAGAUGAGCCCUUUGUCUUUUCUUGUUGUAGCUUCAUACAUACACCAUCUUGACCUUAAAGUUAAACUCACUAGUAUAUGCUUUUGCCAAAGCAUUUCUCUUUUACCUUUUUUCAGGGUUUCUCAAGCAAUUAUGUUUUGUUGGUUGCUUAAUUAUGAAGUGGCUAUAGCUAUAUUGGAAAACUCCUAUGCUUCAUCACUUCUUUUUUAUCCAAAAUCUCUGGCACUUAAACUCUGUUUUUCCACAUAAAAACUGUAUGUUAUACACCCACUAUGAUUCUUACUGGAUGCUAUGAACCACUCUCACUCUUGACUUCACUUCCAUUUUGUGCAGUUGGACUGAAGCAUUGAUGACCCUCGAAUCAUAAUUCGGGUUCUCCUUGUUCUUCUAACCACCCUGACAAUGCAACAUCUUGCUCAAAGCUUUUAUUUCUACUUUUCUUUUCUUUUCACACACUCCUUGUGCCAAAGGUGUUGAUGUGAAUGCCGACAAACAAGCCCAAAUUGAUUUGUUUGAUCUUAAGAUAGUUAGUUUUAUCUUAUGGCUCUUUAAAUAGUUUACCAGAUAUUGAUAUACAUGAAAAAAUAUUCUGGACUUGAUGGAUAUGUCCAGCAAGUUCUUUGUGUUUGUACUUUGUAUGUACACUUAGGCUGACACUGGGUGUGGUGGACUGUGUCAUCCUUUGUGUUUUUGUAGCUCAUGUAGAGCAAGUUCCCACACAACAAUAUACAAGAGAAUAUGGAUUUCCGGUGGUACAUUGAGUUGUUUCACUGGUGGCUAGUAAAAUACCACUACAAACAUGUUACAGGCGGAUGUUUUUCCAGGGUUGCCAAGCUGGGUCCCUAGGUUGUUCAGCUUAACAUACGAUGUAAUUCAUCUCUGUAGGAAUCAAUUCAGUUGACGAUUGGUGUAGAUGGCUGCUCUGAUUGGGCACUUGGAAGUUGGGAAACAUGGGUAAAUUUCAAUUUGGCUUUCAAACUGGGGUAUGAUAUAGAUCGUAAUUGCCCAUGUCAUCAUGAUGUUAGUUAAUUUUCAGUGCCAAUUGUUUGCACUUCUCUACUGUGUGAUUAUCAUUUUCCUGGCCCUGUUGUCAGUGCAAUACUUUGAUUCGGUCAAACAGGUUCAGUGUGUGGAUAUUAUUACGUAGUUUCUCUUCAGAUAGAGGUUUAUGCUGUUUCAUUACAAUUCAUGGUGUCUUGUCCUAUCAAAGUAGAGUACUAGCUGCAGGAUUGUGUAAGUUUAACGUCCAUUAACUGUAGUGUAUGUGCACAAUAAAUGGAUAAUUUUCCCUGCAAUCGUGAAAACUUCCGCUUGAUAUGCAUUGCUGCUAUCAUGUGGACAGUGCGGAGAACUUGUAGUGGCACUUGUUUUGACAAUAGGAUGCCUUCUGGUCCCACAAUUGCCAUAUACUCUAUUUGCCAGUGGAUUGAAUGCUGAAAUGAUUUGCAGGAACAAAAGUUGCUCCAGGUCCAGGAUGGUCCCUGACAAGGCGAAAAAACAGAGCAGUUCUAGAUUCAUGAAGAUGGUGGCCUUGGAGGUUUUCUGAAGAGCUAAAGGAUGGAAAACAGUUGGGAUAAAAGUAGCUUUGGUGCCUGCACCGGUAGUAUAUGAUGCUAGCUUUUGCUGUCUUAGCUGCUGGAUUUCGAUGAUUUUGCAAGCUUGAUGUGAUUAUGCAAACUGUUAGGAUCUGAGUCUAAACUCCAGCACCUUUUCUUGCCUUUUUUUUGGCUUUCGUUGUGUUUUUAGUUCAGCAUUGUACUCUGUCAUGUUUCGUUAAUUCAGCUGGGUGCAAGGCCUCUGUAUAAUGAUAAUAAUAAAAUAUAAGAUUUCUUUUUGUAUAAAAAAGAGUUUAUGCUUUCAAUUAUUAUAUUAUCAAUUCUUGCUUCUUCUCAUGCUUUACCGUCAGUAGAUUACUUGACGUUUAAGAGAGCAUUUGAG
rnacentral:lncRNA from 1 species